rnacentral:rRNA from 1 species
GACAGAGGGUGCAAACGUUGCUCGGAAUUACUGGGCGUAAAGUGCGUGUAGGCGGGCCGGCAAGUCGGGCGUGAAAUCCCUGGGCUCAACCCAGGAACCGCACUCGAAACUUCCGGUCUAGAGUGGUGGAGAGGGAAGUGGAAUUCCUGGUGUAGAGGUGAAAUUCGUAGAUAUCAGGAGGAACACCAGUGGCGAAGGCGGCUUCCUGGACAACAACUGACGCUGAGACGCGAAAGCGUGGGGAGCAAACAGG